rfam:Apaloderma vittatum contig39774, whole genome shotgun sequence.
GGAUGGUUAGCUCAGUGGUUGGAGUGCAGUGCUGACAACAGUGACAACACUGAGGUCAUGGGUUCAAUUCCCGCUCGGUCCC